rnacentral:rRNA from 1 species
AUACGAAGGUCCCAAGCGUUAUUCGGAAUCACUGGGCGUAAAGAGUACGUAGGCGGUUUGGUAAGUCAGGUGUGAAAUCCCGAAGCUCAACUUCGGAACUGCAUCCGAUACUGCCAGACUUGAGUAAUGGAGAGGCAGGUGGAAUUCUCGGUGUAGCAGUGAAAUGCGUGGAUAUCGAGAGGAAGACCAAUGGCGAAGGCAGCCUGCUGGACAUUUACUGACGCUGAGGUACGAAGGCUAGGGGAGCGAAAGGGAUUAGAAACCCCGGUAGUCC